rnacentral:rRNA from 1 species
UACGAGUGCCUCAAGCGUUAUCCGGAAUCAUUGGGCGUAAAGGUUGUGUAGGUGGUCAUAUUAGUCUUCUGUUAAAUUCUUCGGCUUAACCGGGGGCAUGCAGAGGAAACGGUAUGACUUGAGGAUGCGAGGGGUCUGUGGAACUCAUAGUGUAGCGGUGAAAUGCGUUGAUAUUAUGGGGAGCACCAAAAGCGAAGGCAGCAGACUGGAGCACUCCUGACACUGAAACAAGAAAGCGUGGGUCGCGAAUGGG